ensembl:lncRNA
CGUGCUUUCGGCGUAAAGCAGCAGUAAAUGCUGGCACACUGCGACGGACUGAUCAGCAAGCGAGUAGAUCAUAUGACAGCUACAGCGCGGCAGUUUCUGUUUUAUUCCGGCGUUGCGGAGAGAGGUGCUCGAGUUAUCUCCACCAGUGAGAGUAUAGCGCCUCCGGUCCUGGGGGUUUGAUCGCUGCCUUCACCUCCCCGUGGCAACUCGCCCAACCUUAAUUGGAGAAUCAAGACGCCUGCCUAGCCGCUGUUGUGAGGGCUCCUCCUCGGUGGAGCCUGCUGUCUUGUCUUGUUUUGUUUUCGUGAAACUGUUUUUAUUAAGUAGGCCUACCUUUUUCUGGUUCGCCUGGUUUUAUUCUAUUUUAUUCUGGACUGUUGCUUGUACCCUAUGGAGGACCACAAGAGCCACGCGCAUCGAAAUAAAAAUUUCUGUGCUUUAAUAAUGAAUUGUAGAAUAAAUUCUGCAAUUGUAAAUUCAUUUUUGAAUUCCAAUUUAAUAAACUGCAUUUCAAAAUCCUUUUUCCAAUUACAUUUCAAAAUCCUUUUUGCAAUUGCACUUUAAUAAACUGCAUUUUAAAAUCCUUUUUUCAGUUGCAAUUUAAUAAACUGCAGUUCAAAAU